UGCAGGAGGCAUCGGCGGGCCCGGUGGGGCAGCGGAGGGAGCCCUAGGCCAUCCAGCGGCGGAGGUGUGGUGGCAGUGGCCAUCCAGCGGCAGAGAGACCCCUAGGCCCCAGGAUGCCUUCCAGCGACGGCAGCACGGCCUAGCGGCAGCGGCGGAAUUCAGGCGAGGCGGCCUUGUGGCCGCAUUCUUUUAUCUUUAAAUUACUCUUUAAAUUACUAUCUUUAAAUUACUAUCUUUAAAUAUCUCAGCCCAUAGCAAGGGAGUGGGGGUGAGAUAAAGGGACUGGUUUGAGUAGGGGACACAGUCCAGCUAGACAGUGAGGGUGCGGGGUCCCCCCUUAGGUAUCCCCAGGCUGACCACCUCUCAUUAUUGCAGAAGGCAUCGUCCCCCUACACGCUAGCUCAGGAUGCCACCCAAAAAAGGUCAAGGUGGCCCAAAAGGGAAGGGAAGGGCCCCCAGGGCAGAGGGUAGACACCCACCCCCUGCGGCGGAGGAUGGGAGACAGGGGGCAGGCAUACCAUGGACCACUAUACUGGCUAGGUUAGAAGCCCUGGAGAGGGGCCCUGCCCAGCCGGCAAUGGGGAGGACAAGGGAACCACCCCCCAAGCGGCCCCGGGAGAAAGUGCAGCGUCUAGUUGGCGGGGCUAAUGCUGCGGCUAUUACUUCUAUCUUAGCGCGACUGGAUGCGCUAGAGGCAGGGCCUAGUAGGGCCGCAGCAAGACCGCCCGGAGCAGAAGCAGGAACAGCGUUGUCUUCGCAUGCAGCCCCAGGACCACAGCCCAUGCAUGGGCCUUCAGCGGACAACAUAGGGGAUUUUCUUCUCUGGUGACAUUCUUAAACUUUGAACUCUGAGCUCUAACAGCUUGUUUCCAAUCAUAAGGGGCAUAGGCGUUCCAUAUAUGGAGUCUUAUUAUAUCGACCCUCCAGUACAGCUGAUGGGAGGACAUCACACCUAAUCCAGGCAAGAUCUAAAGUAUUCCUUGGCAGCAAAUUCAACUAUGCAAAUCUGAACACUGAUUUCAUCAAGACCAUGGAUUUACAGUGCAAUCCAACAGUGGUCUACUCAGAAGCAAGCCCUAUCAAGUUCAAUUGGACCUACUGCCAGAUAAAAACAAAUGAAUCUACCUUAUACUGACUUAGGCCAUUUGUUACCAUCUAGUUCAGUACUGAUGACAUGGACUAGCAUUGGCUCUCCAGGACUCCAGCUGGCAAAAAGAAAGAAACCAAAAACUUGUGUUCAUCACGAAAUGUGUAUCAAAGGUAGAACUGCAACAUCU